GGCAGAACGGCAGGCAGUGCAAGCCAGAGCGAGGCCUCGUGCCCGUGUGGGCCUUGGGAGGCCGGGGCUGCCACGGAGAUCGGGGUCCCUCACCCGCCUCCAGGGGCUCGCCCUACCCGGCCUCGGCUCCCCCCGCGGCCGCCACUGCCCGAACCGCGCCUGGGGGGAGGGGCUCGGGGGGAUCGAGUGCGGAGAAUUAGGGUGCGCGACGCCCCCCGGGGCCUAAGGCCCCCCGAGACCCGUCACCAGGAUCGCGGGCGCCGUGCCUGGCAGGCUGUUAGGGCCCGGGGCUGCCUCUCGGCUCCCAGCGACAACCAGGGAAAAGCAGGAUGGCGGAAGGAAGGAGGAAAGCCGGCCGCCAUUAGCCAGAGAGCAGUAUUGAAUGGCCCGGCGGCUUCAGCCUUGGCUCCAACCCGACCCAGCCCUCGGCUCGGCUCAAAAACCUGAAAAUAAAACUCGUGUUUGAGAGGGAGGAGCGAGCGCGGCCCGGAGGACAAGCAGCGCCAGGCUGCAGGCGGGAGAGAGAUGCUGCGUCAUGAUGCCAACAUGGACGCCGGCCUUUUGUCCUUUUUCUCUUUGGAAGAGCAGGCGAGCCCCGGAGCCCCGAAAAGCUGGCUUCCGGGGGACAGAAACCCCCACAAUCAAUCAGGAACGAGACUUUAAGAUGGGUGGGAAGGUUUCCUCGCUUUUUUCAGCCCCUCCAUCUCCAAAACACUUCGAUUUCUUCUCUGCCACUAAGGUGCAAACCUGAGGCGAGCCAAAGGGACUAGCGCAGGCGGCUCCAUGGAUGCCCCAGGGUACUGGGGACAGGCUCUCUUCGCCUUUGGGUGCAAAAGAGGCAGAGGGGUCUGGAGAGCCCUAGUCCCCUCACCCACCCACUGCAAUCGGCUGCCAAGCUCAAGCUCAAGAAAUCCCAGCUCCCAAUCAUCUGCAGCCCAUGGCCUGCUCAAUCGAGAGUUCCUCGAAGGGGGAAAAAGACACUUGAAAACAAAUUUUUUUAGUCUAGUUUUUUACUUACCCACUCAGCCCGGCGCCAUGGCGUCUAGAAGAAAAAGCUGGCCGGCGCUUUUGGAGAUAUUAUAAAAAUAACAGGUCUUUUUUUGGGAGGUGGGGGAUGUUUGGUUGUUUAGUUGGGGGGAAACCUGGGGUUCUGGUGUCCCUUUGUUACCUUCUUUGUAAGUUACACUCGUGGUAUUUCUGCUCCUUCCACGACUGCAAACUUUCCAGGGUUGGGCUGGCAAAAAGGCGGCUUCGCUGAGGGCUGUUUAGUGCUCUGGAUUUACCAAUGGUGUGAUCGUCAUUAAGAAACAAAAGGCGAAAACACAAGUCAAAUCAAAACAAAAGGCAAAACCAGCCAUCCCAACCGCCACAGAAAAUACCACCGACUCAACGUAGGUGUUUGGCUUGAACCGGCUAAGGGCUUGUUUUCCAGUUUUAAUCUAGUUUUCAGAGGCGGCUUUCAGUCUUUUUUUAUACAAAAGGUCUUCCUUUCUCUUACCCUCCACCACCCCACACCCAGUUCGAGAAAAACAGCUGUUUUUCUUCAAAUAGAUCGAUUUUCAAAGAGUGUACGAGCUACUGGGAAGAAAUCUGAAUAGCAACUAUGGCUGUAAACAUUUUUUUUUUUCCAAAAAGCUCGAAGCUAAAAAAUCGUAGCUUUAUAGAAGCAAAAACGUCUAAAAGCAUUUUAACUGACUUACAUCAGACAAAGACAAAGACAUACAUGCAGAUGAAGCUUCCGAAAAUUCAGGACAUCUCAGGCGACAGUAACACGAGAACGGCAGUGCAGUUAAGGACAGAAUGGAUUGGGUACUUACAAUGUAAAAGGUUUUUAGAAAAUUUAACAGUAACAACAGCUCACAGUUUUUUUGUUAUUGUUGCCGUUUCGCUACAACUAUACAUUUAAAACAUUACCUUGUUAAAAAAUAGAAUUAAUAAGAUGGUCAGGCUUAAGUGUUUAAUAGAGGAAACUAUAUUUAAAAAUUUAUUGUUCAGUCAAGAGAAUACAGAUUAAGACAGCUCCAAGCUCUCCCACCCACCCACCCGAGAAAAAAAAAAAAGGAAAAAAAUUAAAUAUGUCAUUUACUUAGGUUUUUUUGAAUUCAAAACUGUUAACUGCUGACAUUAAUAGUGUGCUAUGACCUAGUUAUACAAGACAAAGAUGGAUUCCAAGUCAUAAGGAAAAAUCCAGAUCUUUUUAAAAGGUCUUCAUUCUUCCAAGUGUGAGUCCUUUGGCAAAUGUUAAACACAUUCAGGCGUCCUGAACUGGAUGGUGGAGUCAAAGGAAAAGCAUUCCCCAUUUGCAACAAAGGAAAAACCCACUUGGCCAUUUAAUUCCAUUGCAGAAAAAUGGCUCCCUCAUCUGUUGGCCUCUCCUUGGAGUCUGAUGAAGGAUGUUUUGAGAUCAGCGUCUAAUAACUCAAGCCCUAUAGAAGCCGCGCGCUGAUUGGCUGCCGCACCCUGCCGCCCUGCUCCAGCCAAUUACCUACCCACGGCCAAAUUACAAACCCCGAAAAGAGCCCCAAUAUGAAAUACACCACCACGAAGCCCCGGCGAGGCGGCUGCUUCGCCUCGGCAGCCCGAGAAGAGAGACCGAGGGCGUCUGCAACCAGAUCCACGCGAAAAGCCGGGGAAGCCUACGAGUUGAACUCACAAAAUGGAAGCCGAGCGCUGAUUGGCCGCCGCCACUCCCGGACCUUUAAUAAAGAAAGGGGAAGGAAAAUGAUAAAUGCAAAAAAGGGGACUCUCUGUCGCUGGUGGCUGGAGGAAGGAGGGAGGGAGAAGCAUGUGUUCAAGACAAUUACUGGGCGCUCCCCUCCAAAAAUAAAAACAGAAAGGCAAAAAAUAAAAACGAAAAAAUAAAGAGAAAGAGCUAUCUUCCCCGUCCAGGCGAGGGUUGUAUCCUCCCAGGAAUGUGAAGGCUAGUGUGGUUCCAAACCUUGGUUUCCCUUCCCCAGCACAGCUCCUGGGAGGGAGGGGGCGUGCGGGCCAAAGAGGAAGCGGGAUCGGAGAUACCUCGAUUGCAAACUCGUUUGGGGUCGACGUCUGCCUCCCCUCCAGGCUUCUAGUAGUCAUACACACGAUCACCCCCCACUCGAAACCCAGCCCUUUUCGCCGAGACUCCACGCGUCCACCACCGGCCUGGGCAGUUUGGAAACAGUUUGGGAGGCCCUGGGGGCGCACACCGUGGAGUCUUCCGUAGCUGGAAGGGUAGCCCCAGCCGCGGGGGAGAUAGAAGCCGUGGAGACCCCCCUCUCCCCCGUCAGCCAAGCCCCCCACCUCAGUCCCAGCAGAAUAAAUAAAUUAAAAGGCCUUCCCCCCGGGGAAGGGGGGGGAGGCAGUGUGG
rnacentral:lncRNA from 1 species